AAGUUGGCCAUCCGCAAGCCAGGAAAAGAACUCUCACCAGAACCUGACCAUGCUCACACCCUGAUGUCAGACUUCCAGGCUCCAGAAUUGCCUGCCCAUGAAAAACCCAAGAGGAUGAAACAGAGAACUCCCAGGCCUUGCCCUGUAGUCACAGAGAACGGGAGACUGCCUGACUGUGGGCAUCACAAGAAUUUCAAGGCCCAGAACUUGGAAGUUAGGCCUGAAGGGAAUGGCUCACAGCAUCUCAGAGUGAUCACCUUCUACGUGAAUUGUUAGGAUAGUAUAUGAGAGAUUGUCUGCUGCCCUCCCUCCUCCACUGGCUGAGAGGUCCACCUGUACCUAGUGGAAUUGGUUAGCUCAGCAGGUUCCAG
rnacentral:lncRNA from 1 species